UACGUAGACAACCAGGAUGUUGGCUCAGAAGCAGCCACACAUUCAAAGAGUGCGUAAUAGCUCACUGGUCGAGCGUCUUUGCGCGGAGAAUUUAACGGGGCUAAACCUGACACCGAAGCUUAGGCAAUACAGCAAUGUAUUGGGUAGGGGAGCGUUGUAUACGCGGUGAAACAGUAGCGCAAGCGGCUGUGGAGUGUAUAGAAGUGAGAAUGCCGGAAUGAGUAGCGCGAAUGCAGUGAGAAUCUGCAUGGCCGAAAGCCUCAGGUUUCUGGAGGAAGGUUCGUCCGCUCCAGGUUAGUCGGGAGCUAAGGUGAGGCCUAACGGCGUAGCCGAUGCACAGACGGUAGAGAUUCCGUCACCACCAAAAGAGUUAAACACAGGGACACAUUUGAAGUCUCGGAGCCGGGUGUUGGUUCCGGUAGCGAUCGAGGGAAGUUAGUACCGAAGUCCGGGAUGGAAGAUGGCGAGAAAAGCUGUGUGUAUUUCUGCGGUGCCCGUACCGCAAACCGACACAGGUAGGUAGGAAGAAGAUUCUAAGGCCAACGGGAGAAGGGUUGUUAAGGAACUCGGCAAAUUGACCCCGUAACUUCGGGAGAAGGGGUGCUCCAGAGAUGGAGCCGCAGAGAAUCGGCCCAAGCAACUGUUUACCAAAAACACAGGUUUGUGCUAAAUCGAAAGAUGACGUAUACGAGCUGACGCCUGCCCGGUGCUGGAAGGUUAAGAGGAGAUGUGCAAGCAUUGAAUCGAAGCCCCAGUGAACGGCGGCCGUAACUAUAACGGUCCUAAGGUAGCGAAAUUCCUUGUCAGGUAAGUUCUGACCCGCAUGAAAGGCGUAAUGAUUUGGGCACUGUCUCGACAGCCCGCCCGGCGAAAUUGUAGUACCGGUGAAGAUGCCGGUUACCCGCGACAAGACGGAAAGACCCCAUGGAGCUUUACUGUAGCCUAAUAUUGGGUUUCGAUGUUGCAUGCACAGGAUAGAUGGGACACAGGGAAACAAGUGCUUUGGCAUUUGUGGAGUGGCCGUUGGGAUACCAUCCUUGCGAUAUUGGAAUUCUAACCUGCGCCUUUGAAUCAAGGCGGGGGACAUUGUUAGGUGGGCAGUUUGACUGGGGCGGUCGCCUCCUAAAGAGUAACGGAGGCGUUCAAAGGUUCGCUCAGCUUGAACGGAAAUCAAGCAAAAGAGUGCAAACGCAGAAGCGAGCCUAACUGCGAGACUGACGGGUCGAGCAGUAACGAAAGUUGGAGUUAGUGAUCCGGUGGUAUGUGAGUGGAAAUGCCAUCGCUCAACGGAUAAAAGUUACCCUGGGGAUAACAGGCUGAUCUCCCCCAAGAGUCCACAUCGACGGGGAGGUUUGGCACCUCGAUGUCGGCUCAUCGCAUCCUGGGGCUGUAUUCGGUCCCAAGGGUUUGGCUGUUCGCCAAUUAAAGCGGUACGCGAGCUGGGUUCAGAACGUCGUGAGACAGUUCGGUCCCUAUCUGUCGUGGGCGCAGGAUAUUUGAUGGGAGCUGUUCCUAGUACGAGAGGACCGGAGCGGACGUACCUCUGGCGCACCAGUUGUUCUGCCAAGGGCAUAGCUGGGCAACUAUGUACGGAUCGGAUAAACGCUGAAAGCAUCUAAGCGUGAAGCCGACCCAAAGAUAAGAUAUCCCAUUGU
rnacentral:rRNA from 1 species